rnacentral:misc_RNA from 1 species
AACCAUUCUCACCUGCGGCUAGACCUGCGGAAGGAUCAUUACCGAGUUUACAACUCCCAAACCCAUGUGAACAUACCUAUCGUUGCUUCGGCGGGAUCGCCCCGGGCGCCUCGUGUGCCCCGGAUCCGGCGCCCGCCUAGGAACCUUAACUCUUGUUUUAUUUUGGAAUCUUCUGAGUAGUUUUUACAAAUAAAUAAAAACUUUUAACAACGGAUCU